rnacentral:rRNA from 1 species
GGGAUCGAAGAUGAUUAGGUACCAUCGUAGUCUUAACCGUAAACUAUGCCGACUUGCGAUUGUCCGAUGUUUAUUAUAGACUCUGCCAGAACCGUAUGCGAAAGCAAAGUCUUUGGGUUCCGGGGGGAGUAUGUUCGCAAGAAUGAAACUUAAAGGAAUUGACGGAAGGGCACACAUGGAGUGGAGCCUGCGGCUUAAUUUGACUCAACACGGGAAAACUCACCAGGUCCAGACAAAGUAAGGAUUGACAGAUUGAGAGCUCUUUCUUGAUUCUUUGGGUGGUGGUGCAUGGCCGUUCUUAGUUGGUGGAGUGAUUUGUCUGGUUAAUUCCGAUAACGAACGAGACCCCAACCUGCUAACUAGACUGCGUUAUCUUCUCGAUAUGCGCAGCGCUUCUUAGAGGGACAUUUCGGAUUUACCGGAAGGAAGUUCGAG